rnacentral:lncRNA from 1 species
ACAUGUAUAGGGCAUAAAAAACUUUCAUCUGGGUGAUUUGUGUCAACCACGCUCAUGCUAGCAAUCAUCACUUAAAUAACAUCAAACAUAAAAUGAAUUAACUGAAACAAAACCGAUAUAAUAUUCAAAUCAAAGUUUGGGAAAAUCCAUCAUAAUUGAAAUAACAAAAAAUGGCAAAAAUAAAAAAACUAAACUAAAAAUAAAACAAAAAUGAAGAAAGAAAG